UACGUAGGUGGCAAGCGUUGUUCGGAAUUAUUGGGCGUAAAGCGCGUGUAGGCGGCUUAGCAAGUCGGGCGUGAAAGCCCUCGGCUCAACCGAGGAAGUGCACCCGAAACUGCUGAGCUUGAGUGCCGGAGAGGAUGGCGGAAUACCCCAAGUAGAGGUGAAAUUCGUAGAUAUGGGGUGGAACACCGGUGGCGAAGGCGGCCAUCUGGACGGUAACUGACGCUGAGACGCGAAAGCGUGGGUAGCAAACAGGG
rnacentral:rRNA from 1 species